rnacentral:rRNA from 1 species
UACGAAGGGAGCUAGCGUUGUUCGGAAUCACUGGGCGUAAAGCGCACGUAGGCGGAUGUGUCAGUCAGGGGUGAAAUCCCGGAGCUCAACUCCAGAACUGCCUUUGAUACUGAAGAUCUUGAGUCCGGGAGAGGUGAGUGGAACUGCGAGUGUAGAGGUGAAAUUCGUAGAUAUUCGCAAGAACACCAGUGGCGAAGGCGGCUCACUGGCCCGGUACUGACGCUGAGGCACGGAAAGCGUGGGGAGCAAACAGG